rnacentral:tRNA from 1 species
GGCGCGAUGGCGGAGUGGUGACGCAGAGGACUGCAAAUCCACCUUGAAGAUGCGGAAAUCUAGGAUUGUUAGCGAAGUUCAGUCUUCGUUCACGCCA